rnacentral:rRNA from 1 species
UACGUAGGAUGCAAGUGUUGUCCGGAAUUAUUGGGCGUAAGAGUUCGUAGGCGGUUGCCUAAGUCUGUUGUUAAAGGCCUGAGCUCAACUCGGGUAUGGCAAUGGAUACUGGGCGGCUAGAGUGUGGUAGAGGUCACGGGAAUUCCAGGUGUAGCGGUGAAUGCGUAGAUAUCGGAGGAACACCGGUGGCGAAGGCGGCGACCUGGGUAGAUACGUGACGCUGAGGUGC